GAUGAACGCUGGCGGCGUGCCUAACACAUGCAAGUCGAACGAAGCACCUUACCUGAUUCUUCGGAUGAAAGUUUGGUGACUGAGUGGCGGACGGGUGAGUAACGCGUGGGUAACCUGCCCUGUACAGGGGGAUAACAGCUGGAAACGGCUGCUAAUACCGCAUAAGCGCACGAGGAGACAUCUCCUUGUGUGAAAAACUCCGGUGGUACAGGAUGGGCCCGCGUCUGAUUAGCUGGUUGGCAGGGUAACGGCCUACCAAGGCAACGAUCAGUAGCCGGUCUGAGAGGAUGAACGGCCACAUUGGAACUGAGACACGGUCCAAACUCCUACGGGAGGCAGCAGUGGGGAAUAUUGCACAAAGGGGGAAACCCUGAUGCAGCAACGCCGCGUGAGUGAAGAAGUAUUUCGGUAUGUAAAGCUCUAUCAGCAGGGAAGAUAAUGACGGUACCUGACUAAGAAGCUCCGGCUAAAUACGUG
rnacentral:rRNA from 1 species